ACAAACGUCAGUGGCCCUGAUACUCCGUUGUAAAUAUCUCCUCCUGCCUCCUCAAUGUCAUCUGGAAAUCCUGCCAGAAUCCUGCUCCUGGGUGUGAUGCAGCUACACGCCUUUAGGGGGCAGCAGUGAGACACAAGGCUCACUGGCUGCGGGGAAAUGUCACGCUGUAUGACAGUAGAGAUGAUCGUCAGACCAAAAUGCUACAAAUGACUUUGUAGCAUUUUGAUACAGCGCCACCCUGUCAUCUUCUACAUGAUCAGCUUCAGUUUGGACCGGUACCUUUUAACCCGCCUGCAAAUAAACGACGUACCAAACAAACAACACCUCUCUCUCUCCAAGGUCUGGAGCUUCUGAAUUCACUAAAUCUGCAAUUAAACUUCAUCACAGGCAGAGAAGCAAAAGCUGACAGUAGGUGUGAAUAUGAAUGAGGAGAUUUUACAGCCAGAUUCUGGUUUUCAGAUGAAAGAUUAAAACGACCUGAACGUCCCUGAGGUAGAAAUGGACGACUGUGAGAGAGAUUACUGUGGUUUCAUUUACUCUUAGCGUUGUUUUCACCAUUUCUGUGGAAUAAAAGGAAAAAUGAC